UACGGGGGGAGCAAGCGUUGUUCGGAUUUACUGGGCGUAAAGGGCGCGUAGGCGGCCACCGCAAGUCGACUGUGAAAUCUCCGGGCUUAACCCGGAACGGUCAGCCGAUACUGCGGGGCUAGAGUGCAGAAGUGGCAACUGGAAUUCUCGGUGUAGCGGUGAAAUGCGUAGAUAUCGAGAGGAACACCUGCGGCGAAGGCGGGUUGCUGGGCUGACACUGACGCUGAUGCGCGAAAGCUAGGGGAGCGAACGGG
rnacentral:rRNA from 1 species